ACAGAAACCAGAAAGAAAAAGAGAGGAAGAGAGAGAGAAAGAGAAAGAAAGAAUGAAAGAAAGAAAGGGAGAUCCGUUCAAACCGUCGACAUUUUGGAGAAACCUCAAGGUAUAAAGUUGUUCUUUACCUCAUGAUCUUUCUUUUGAGUAUAAUUUUGCAUAUAUAUUGGAGGAUUUUAGAGAUUGAAAAUCCGGCACUAUUCACAAAUUGGGGGUUUGCUGUUUUCUUAAUUGUUGAGGUAGUUCUAGUUGUUUUCUGAACUUGGUGUAGUUGAGAAAAAUGCUAGGGGGAUUGAGAUGAAGCUGCUGCCAAAAUUUGGUGACCAUCGGAGAAGUUGACCGCUGAGUGAACAGUACCGCACGUGAACAAUGGACGACUUACCGAGCGAUUGCUCAACGAAGGAACUCAUAUGCGUGAUCAUCAGAAUAGUACUUUUGCAGGCGAAUUAGUGAGGUCGGGCAUACACGGAGUUGAGACAUAGUCAACAGCAUGGCUUCCGCGUUUGCCUUUGAGUUAGGUACUUGACGGUUUGAGUUGGCGAACGAUUUUGAAUCGUAUUUUGAGCUGUUAAGAAGACGCAGCAGGAUUUGAGG